UACGUAGGGUGCGAGCGUUAAUCGGAAUUACUGGGCGUAAAGUGUGCGCAGGCGGCCGAGCAAGUCGAGUGUGAAAGCCCCGAGCUUAACUUGGGAAUUGCGCUCGAAACUACUUGGCUGGAGUGUGGCAGAGGAAGGUGGAAUUCCAGGUGUAGCGGUGAAAUACGUAGAGAUCUGGAGGAACACCGAUGGCGAAGGCAGCCUUCUGGGCCAACACUGACGCUCAUGCACGAAAGCGUGGGGAGCAAACAGG
rnacentral:rRNA from 1 species